rnacentral:sRNA from 1 species
AUUCAGGAAGUUGGUGGGUUUUCAGCAUGUGAAUAUUGACUGUGUUGUCUUUUCUCAUUUUUUACUUACUACUUGUUUUUCCUCUUCUUCCACAGCAAUCAAUCAAUAAGAACAAGUCCCAGGACUUCAGACUAGGCUCAGAAUCUAUGACACAUAAAGAAUUGAAGAAAAGUUAAGAGAUGCCCAAAUGCACAGAGGUGAAAAUGACAAACCAAAUGGAAUUUCUCUUCAGAGUUCAGAAUUUUCAGAUACUAAGGAGGAAGAAAGGAUCCACUACUUCUUGUUCUUAUGAAUGACUCUAGAAAAAUCAGAAUCAAGUUGUGGGUGGAAAAAUCAAUGUGGCCUUUGAGUUCAGUUGUUAUAAACCAUUGUGAUUGUUGUUGGUCAAAGUAUUGGUACUUAUAUUGUUAGUAAUUGCAUC